rnacentral:rRNA from 1 species
GGCGGGCUUACCAUGCAGUCGAGCGGUAGCACAGAGGGAGCUUGCUCCCUGGGUGACGAGCGGCGGACGGGUGAGUAAUGUCUGGGAAACUGCCUGAUGGAGGGGGAUAACUACUGGAAACGGUAGCUAAUACCGCAUAACGUCGCAAGACCAAAGAGGGGGACCUUCGGGCCUCUUGCCAUCAGAUGUGCCCAGAUGGGAUUAGCUAGUAGGUGGGGUAAUGGCUCACCUAGGCGACGAUCCCUAGCUGGUCUGAGAGGAUGACCAGCCACACUGGAACUGAGACACGGUCCAGACUCCUACGGGAGGCAGCAGUGGGGAAUAUUGCACAAUGGGCGCAAGCCUGAUGCAGCCAUGCCGCGUGUGUGAAGAAGGCCUUCGGGUUGUAAAGCACUUUCAGCGAGGAGGAAGGUGGUGAAUUUAAUACGUUCAUCAAUUGACGUUACUCGCAGAAAAAGCACCGGCUAACUCCGUGCCAGCAACCGCGAUAAUACAGAGGGUGCAAGCGUUAAUCGGAAUUACUGGGCGUAAAGCGCACGCAGGCGGUUUGUUAAGUCAGAUGUGAAAUCCCCGGGCUCAACCUGGGAACUGCAUUUGAAACUGGCAAGCUAGAGUCUCGUAGAGGGGGGUAGAAUUCCAGGUGUAACGGUGAAAUGCGUAAAGAUCUGGAGGAAUACCGGUGGCGAAGGCGGCCCCCUGGACGAAAACU